GACGGAGGAUGCAAGUGUUAUCCGGAAUCACUGGGCGUAAAGCGUCUGUAGGUGGUUCGAAAAGUCCACUGUUAAAAAUUGAAGCUUAACUUCAAAGAUGCCGUGGAAACUUUCAAACUAGAGUGUGGUAGGGGUAGAGGGAAUUUCCAGUGGAGCGGUGAAAUGCGUAGAUAUUGGGAAGACCACCGAUGGCGAAGGCACUCUACUGGGCCAUUACUGACACUGAGAGACGAAAGCUAGGGGAGCAAAUGGG
rnacentral:rRNA from 1 species